CAAUAUUAAUUGAAACAAUGGAAAUUUAGUGGUUACAUGUCACCUGAGUAUGCCCUGGAAGGCCUGUACUCCAUCAAAUCAGACGUGUUUAGUUUUGGAGUAUUAAUGUUGGAAACAUUGAGUAGCAAGAAGAACACUGGCGUCUACAAUAGUGAUUCCUCUAACCUUCUUGGAUAUGUAAGUGACAAAUUAUUUCACUUAUGUUCCAUCUUUAAUGUGUAAAAUAUAAAUUGGAAAUGUCAAAAAUUGCUUCUGUAAAUUAAACUAAUAUUGAUCGUGGACAUUUCUUUUCAGGCUUGGGGCUUCUGGAAAGAUGACAGAGCUCAUGAAUUGAUGGAUCCAGUAAUAGGCUUAAGUUAUUAAGUUAUUUGGCUCAGCUUGAUAACAUGUUUAUUUGUAAUUCGUUCGAUUUCUUUGAUAACAUGUAUGUUUCUGGAUGUAGGAAACAAGAAGCUACUCUGGAUAAUUGUAAUACUUGUUCUUCCUUUGGUACUUCUUCCUUCUUUUUACAUAUUUCGGCGAAGGAGGAGAAAACACAAAGAGAAAGGUAAAUUUUUUCCCUUCAUAUCACUCAAAUGAUAUUUUCAUGUGAUAAGGCAUGUGAUAAACCAUGUAUACUUACAAUUUUAAAAGUUGUUGUCUUACCGAAACAGAGAAUAUGGAGACAAACCAGGAUCUGUUAGCAUUUGACAUAAAUAUGAGCAUUACAACAAGAACAAAUGAACUCUGUGAAGCAGAUGGAGAAGGAAAUGAUAAGAGCAAGGAUUCUUGGUUGCCAUUAUUCAGCUUGGCCAGUGUAUCUGCUGCUACAGAAAACUUUUCUACGCAAUGUAAGCUUGGAGAAGGUGGCUUUGGCCCUGUUUACAAGGUAGAAUUGUUGCUACCUCAAAUGUCCUUAAUGAAGUGCUGCUGCUGUAAAACAUUAACAAAAUAAAAAAAUGCAGGGUCGACUACUUAAUGGACAAGAAGUUGCAGUAAAAAGGCUCUCGAGUCAGUCAGGGCAAGGACUCAAAGAGUUUAAAAAUGAGAUGAUGCUUAUAGCAAAACUCCAACACAGACACCUUGUCAGACUCUUCGGUUGCUGUGUAGAACAAGGCGAAAACAUUUUAAUCUAUGAGUACAUGCCUAACAAAAGCUUGGAUGUUUUCCUUUUCAGUAUGUGAUUUAUCAUUCACAAGAUUAAGUAUUUCCACUACUUUGCAGUGCUCUGUCGAAUUUUAUCAUCUCCAUUUUUUUAACUUGUUAUCAUUUACGCUGAUCAGUAUUCAUUUUGGCAUUGCAACAGAUCCAAAGAAAAAGCGCCUGCUAGGUUGGCAAGCACGUGUUAGAAUUAUUGAAGGAAUUGCCCAAGGACUAUUAUAUCUUCAUCGGUAUUCUAGACUGAGAAUUAUUCACAGAGAUCUUAAGGCAAGUAAUAUUCUCUUAGAUAGUGACAUGAACCCCAAAAUAUCAGAUUUUGGCAUGGCAAGAAUAUCUGGUGAUGAUGAGUUGCAGGGAAAUACUAAACGGAUUGCUGGAACUUAGUAAGUAAAACUCCAUUCCUGAAAAUGAUGUUUGCUUGUCCUGUUUUCUUAGAUCACUCAAUAUUAAUUGAAACAAUGGAAAUUUAGUGGUUACAUGUCACCUGAGUAUGCCCUAGAAGGCCUGUACUCCAUUAAAUCAGAUGUGUUUAGCUUUGGAGUAUUAAUGUUGGAAACAUUGAGUAGCAAGAAGAACACUGGCGUCUACAAUAGUGAUUCCUUUAACCUUCUUGGAUAUGUAAGUGACAAAUUAUUUCACCAUUGUUCCAUCUUUAAUGAGUAAAAUAUAAAUUGGAAAUGUCAAAAAUUGCUCCUGUAAAUUAAACUAAUAUUGAUCAUGGACAUUUCUUUUCAGGC
rnacentral:lncRNA from 1 species